UAACAAUUGCAAUAGAUAUGUAGAAAUGUGGAGAAUUAUAAUUAGAAGUCAAAAAGUUGAACAUAUUUGUAGAUAAGUUUGAUAAGUGUGGGUACGAAGACAUAUAUAGAAAACUUUUUUUAAAGUUCUAUUAAGGAUUCAUGAAAUUUUAGAGGCUUAAAAAUUUCUUUACCACUGGCCAGGCAGGGUGGUUCAUGCUUAUAAACCUAGCACUUUGGGAGGCUGAGACAAAAGGAUCCCUUGAGCAGAGGAGUUUGAGACCAGCCUGAGCAACAAAGCAAGACCUCUCUCUACGAAGAAGAAGAAAAAAACUUUACUACUACAUUGAUUUUUCAAUUAAAAAAUGAUUUUAAAAACACUUUGACUCCUUCAUUGCACCUCCCAAACCUUCACGUUCCAACCUUUUGACUCAGCUUUGGCCUCCUUCACCCCUCUCCUUUUCUCUUUCCCAGCCUUCAGAUCAGAUUAGAUGGCCUAUCUAGUUUCUGCUGUGAUCUUAUAGUCUCCAAGAAGACACCCACCCUGUUUUGUGAGGUGAGGCCUUUUGUUGGGGUGUCAGCUCUUUGCUGAGGAAGCUCUGCUCUGGUUUGAUAAUUUUCUGUUUUAUGCUCAUAAAAACUACAGGAGCAUUUAUGAGUCUACAUAAAUAUAAACAUCACCACUUGGUUGUCGUGGAGAUGGGCCUCUCCCCACUUCCACCCUGUGAGUCUGGUUUGUACAGCUCGGCGGUGCAGGAGUCUUCAGAAAGCCCAGCCUCGCAUAGAAUUAGGCCCUCGGCAUGUUGAAGCUGAAGACAGAGCUUCUGAGGUGGGGGCAGUUGGCUGUGUUGCUAUCCAGAUUGACUUUGCCCACUGUGUCAUUAUAGAUAUGGAUUCAGUUGCUGUAAUUAAGGACCAAAAUAAUAGAGGUAUAAGCCAAGCAGAUUUUGAUUUUUCUCUCCCCUAAGGAGUCAAAAACUGAUAAAAGGGGUUUCAUCAUGUUGGGGACCCAGAUCCUCCUGUUUUUUUGAUUUGCUAAAUUUUAAGAAUUGCUUUCAUCUGCUUUGUCCAAAAUGACUCACCACCAUAUGCAUCUCCCAGCUUUGACAGAUGGAGAAAAAGGGUAUAGAGAGCAUGCCCCUCUCUUUAAUAUCCUACCAGGUAUUGCACCCAUCAGCUUGGCAUUGGACAUGCGGCUGCAUUGCAGGAACGUGACCACAGAGAGUAGUAGUUAAGCAUGUGGACUCCAAGGCUAGACCACCUGGGUUGGAAUCCUGAUUCUAUCCCUUACUAGCCAGUUAACCUUGAGCAAAUUGAUUCUAAGACACACUUUUCCCCUCAUAUGAUAAAGUCUAUGAAUUCAGAACACAUCUGACAACUGAUGGUGUGCCAUUGUUUAAUUAAUGG
rnacentral:lncRNA from 10 species